UGUGAUUCUUCAUUCCAGGAAACCCUAAAAAGAUGUUCCUUUGCAUGGAAAAAGGCGAAGAAACAGUGAAAAAGGAGAAGUCCACACUGGGAGAAAAGCUAUUUUAUAUAGCAUAAUAAUCUUGUCAGGAAACAGAAAACAAAUUCCUGCCCCAUCUCAAGCUGUGGAAAACCUUGAACUCACAAGAAGCAAUAAGCUCAAACCAUAUAAGAGAAAGCGACUCAAACUUUUGAUAUUAAAAAAGAGGAUCUGUAAUUCUGAAGUGAUUUGCAAAUCUGCAUUUAGGACCACUCAUCCAAGAUAAUGUGGAUUUUCCCAGCCAUUUGGAAGGUGGUAUAGUGUGAUCAUGCUAAGGAAUUCAUGCUGGAUUAAAAAUGUCUCCAAAGAAGCUGCCCCAUAUGAACUUCUAAUGGAUAUGUGGAGAGCAAUGUGUUCCUUGCAUGCUCUGUGGAAAAGCCUAUCAAAACUCUAGAUAUGAGAGAUUAAUUGAGGAAAGGUUUUGAGGGAAAGCACAAUGGUCAACUCCAACAGCUACAGAGUGGCUCAAAAAUUUGAAUCAAAUUCUCCAAAUUUGAUUCAGACUUCAGAAUGGCCCCGAGACCAAGGAAUAUAGGAAAUGAAUGAAAACACAGAAAUAUUGGAAGGCCAAAAAGGCAAGAAGGAUUCAUGCAGAAACUCAACUGUCUCUGAUAUCAAGAUUAACAAUGAGAUUUGUCCUGCUGCUUCUCAGGCCUGUUGGAAGUGUACUGAAUAAUUUGCUGGCAGUCUCUGAUACAAUAUAUGCAAUCAUCUGUAGAUACCUCCUUAGUGAUGCAACUAGAGAAGAGGCUCACUGGCUGUUUCAGAGUAACAAGAGGAUAAAUUCAAUACUGAUCUUCUAUCCACACAAUGACACCUUCGAGGGUCUGAGAGAAAGUUCCAGUCAAAUCCACAUGCAUUAAGAGUCUGUAUCAUGAAUGUUCUGCUUGGGCUGCCCUGAUACCCUGAUUUAAACCUGUUCAAGCAGGCAAAAUGGCAAGACUUGGGAGGCUCAUCUUCAAAUACAUGUAUUUUUGAACCCCACAUUUUCAGAGAUUGUGCAGCAUUGUGUCCGUGAACUUCCAGAGUUUGCAUUAAAAAGUGACAGAACAUCAGAGUGCCAGAAGCUUCUCAUAUUGUGGCCCUGAAGGGACUGCUGGAACUUGUACUGGAAAAGCCCGGUUUCACUGGCAAAGAAUUUUGCUGCAGUAAGAAAAUUUGCCAGUAUGGUUGGUGGGGUUGAAAACCAAAAUAUUCUGUGAUCUGCUGAGCUGUGACUGGAGUAGAACAA